rnacentral:lncRNA from 1 species
AUGCCCAGUGACGUUGUUCCACUUUCCUCUUUAGGGGGGAAGAAGGGAUGGGGCUGGGCCAGUCAUGGGGUAGGUUCUGAGCUCAGCGCCAACUUUCAAGCAUACCCUCUUGCCUACUUCCCCUACAGCAUGAUAUGGCUAGAAGCUGGACCCGGGCUGCCCACCAGCCCCACUUUGUUAUCGGGACCUGUCUCUGCUAGUCUUAUGACCAGGAACAGAAUGACGAUUGCUGGUGGGGGCGGGUGCCCAGGUACCAAGCCAACUGGGCUCUCGCCCGGCUCUAUCCCAGGCCUGGCAAUCUCCCUCUGGCCGUUACCCAUCAUGCACUUCUGCCUCUUUCGGGGAGACCUCGCCCUCUUGUUUUCAAAGUUUUAUAACAGUACUGUUUGUUGUGGAGCAGAUUAAAUUCUUUAGAGGUUGGGGGGUGGCUGGAGAAGAGUGAGAAAGUCUACUGGAGCCAAGAGAUUAAAUUAAUUCCUUUCUCAACGCAGAGUUCACCUGUCUUGGAAAGGGACCAGCAGCCAGGAACAUGUGUUCUCUCUCUCUGCCCUCUACCCUCAUGCCCUCCUUCUCUUCCUGUCCUGGGGAGGCACUCUGAGUCUGGCAAGGACAUGCCUGGUUGCAUGAUCAAGGGCUGGGGCUUUAAUGGUCAAUGAGCCAGGGUUUGAGACAAAAUGAAAGCAACUGAAGAGAACAGGAAUGGAGAAACUGACCUGUCCCUCCCCCACCUCCCUAUGACCAGCUGAAGAUCACUGAACCCUGAAAAUGCCCCAGGCACUCCUAUCCUGAUGAUGGGAUUGCUCAUCUUCCCCAAGGCUUUGCACCUUGGUCCUGGACCAUCCUGAGGUCCUAUGGGCAGCGCCUUGGAGCUCAGUCUGGGCAGACAGCUUCUGAAAUGAGCUCUGGCUUAUAUAUAAAACUUUUUUUAAAGGUUAAGUGACUCAACACAUUUUCAUAAAAAUGUGCCCUAAUGCACAUUAAUCAGUAUAAUGCAAUGUGCUGAAUAUAUGAUGAAUGAAUUAUGAGAAGUGCAUAUGUAAGCCGUUCUCUACACACAAACAUGAGGGGAAGCAAGGGCUGGUGGACAGAACACUGGCCUCAGUCAGGAAAACCUAGGUUCAACUCGCCUCUGACACAUACUGGUGUGACACUUGGCAAAUCACUUCACCCUUCAAUGCCUUAGUACAGAAAUGGGGAAUGUGUGGCCUGCAGGCCCCACCUAAAGACCUACAGACUGAAUGUUCUCUAGACCAAUGAUAUCAUUGCCCCCAAACUUAACCACAUAUCUAUCCACACACAGCCUGCCCCUAUGCAUAUAUCUCUAUCAACUUACAUGCACAUGUCAGAGGAAGUUCACAUGGCUGUGGGUGUGUGGUCUAUGAAUGGAGCGGGAGAAAAAUGAAGA